UCUUUUCUUUCUCAUUUAUUUUUCCAGAUGAGAGUUAGAACGGUCUUGGUUCGUUCUCAGGAGGGACCAAGCCAUGGAGAUUCCGAUUGGAGCCACAUUCAACCACCAGAGAGCUGGUGGCAUUAAGUGGCCUGUCCUGGGCCAGGGGGCAGGUGUGCCCUCAUGUAUUCACCUGCUUAGUUCAAAUCAAGCCUCAGGGAGGAGCCUUCGGGGACUUCGGGGUUGGAGAAAGCGAGUUCCCAUGUUGCAGGCAAGAGACUGAGGCACCAAGCAGGCCCAACCCCAGAACACUGGACACCUGAGCAAACAGACGACGGGCCAAGGUGGAUGACAGGACAAGGACGUGCCCAGGUCGCCCCUGUGCCGGGUGGUGAGGACGUGCCCUGGGGGCGAGAAUGCUGUAGGACAGAGGACGCGCCCUGGGGGCGAGGAGGCAGAGGCCACCCGCCGGACAGCGGCGAGCGCUGCGACUCCCCGACACAUCUGAUUUUGGCCGCUGAGACCCGCCUCAGACCGCUGACCCCCAGCACCGCGAGUCGUCGGGUUUGUGCAGCUAGAAUCGCGGUCAUCUGUUAGAGCAGCAAACGGGAACCGAAUCCAUCAAGCUCUCACGGGUCACGUGCACACACGCUCGGCCGCGCCGUCUUCCAGUCCCCGCCCUGGCAGGUUGUCUCUCCUACCAUUGGCCAGAUCUGGGUCACAUGGUCACGCCUAAACCAAUGGCUAGCAAGAGGAGGGCGGGCCCUACCUUUGGUUACAAAUCAUACUGCCGGCUCCCUGCCCAAGAUCUGGUCACUUUGCGGGGACGGGGGUGCGGUGGGGGUGCGGUGGGGGCGCUUGGGGGUGGCGUGGAAGAGUUGCGGCGGGGAUUGCAUGGAUUGAGCAGGAAGGGCCUGGAACCCAGGCUGAGAAGGCUGGACUUCGUCCAGGGGCCAUGGGGAGCCAUGGUGGCGUUUGAGAGGGGAGGGCACAUCCGAUGAAGGCGUCAUGAAGCCCAGCUCUGACCAGAGUUCUCCCGUAGCAUCCGCCAUGCCCGAGUCUUCAGGUGCUGCCUUGGUUAUCAACAUCACAUACCCUAUCGGAGAACCCACAAGGCCUUGAAGUUUUCAGGUCCUAGUGCAAGGGCUGUGGACAUUGAGUGUGGAGUCCAUCACAAGCCUUCUUCCGGCUUGAGGAAGCCAAAGGGGACCCUCUCACUGUGGCACCAAACCCAGUCUGUAGCAC